rfam:Felis catus isolate Cinnamon breed Abyssinian chromosome B2, whole genome shotgun sequence.
ACCUGAGUGGCUUAGUCGGUUGAGCAUCUGACUUCAGCUCAGGUCAUAAUCUCAUGGUUCGUGGGUUCGAGCCCCGCAUCAGGGU